AUGGAAGCGAAUAACACCAAUGUUCCAAAGGGUGUGAUUAAGGAUCAGUGGAUUACUCUGGUCAAUAAUUCGAUGACCCCAAAGGCACAGGGGAUAAGUGAGAAAAAUAGGAACAACUGUGCGAUGAGGAAGUCGAAACACACGGCUGGAACUAAGAGUUUUCCACGAGUUAGAGAACAGCUGAGACUAAAGGAUCCGGAAAAGAAGUACCCCCACAGGGUUGUCUUAUACAUGCAUACCCAUCAGCACAAAAGCGACAAGAAAAUGAAUGAACAAGUGGUUGAUUUGAAGAAACGGAUAGCAGCGAAUCCAGAUUUAGUAGAUACUAGUAGAGGAAAGACAGCAUGGAAAGGAGAUGUUUUGAAUGCAGUACUUGGCGCAGACAAGCCUGGACAUGUACAUGGCCUCGGACUAGUUCCGAAUCCAAAUCAAGUCUUUGAUGUGUCAACUUCACGCCACUUUCAGAAUAUACACCUUAGUUCAUUGGAGGAUACAUCGAAUGAAGAUCUUUUGGCUGUCAGACUUAAGAUGGAGAAGUUGGAGAAAAGAGUGGAAAACCAAGAUGCCGAAAUUCUGGAACUAAAAGGGAAGACAAAAAACUCUGAAGGACAGUUACAGGGUUCUUUGGAUCAGAUAUCUAAAUCUCGAGAUGUUCCUUCUAUUGCUAAGACAAUUUCAAAGAGAAAAAGAAUUUAUGGCGACGGUCAUAGUCAACAACUUGGUACUGUUGGGCAGCAGAAUAAUGUGAAGAGCAAGGAAACAUUUCUCGAUGACAGGGAGAUGCAACCAUCAUACAAACGUCCUCUUGUGGAUAGAGCAAUGAGUCUUUCAUCCAGGAUGAAAAUGUGCAACAAGAGAAGGAAAACACUAGUGCAGAUAAGGGUUCUUUGGGUGAGGAGUCUACAUCUCAAGAUGCUCUUUGUGUUGGCAAGACAAAUUCAAAACAGAAAAGCAAGGAAAACUUUCUCUAUGACAUGGAGAUGCAACCAUCAAACAAACGUCCUUCUAAGGAUAAGAACAAAGAUACUUCUAUCCAUGAUGAACAUGUGCAACAAGAGAAGGCAAACACUAGUGCAGAUAAGCUUCGUUGCCAGAACACUAGUAAGAUCUCAAGAGGAGCUAAUGCAACAAAGCAUGCCAAUAAACAACAAUGCAGUACAACAAAUUGCCUGGGUGCCGACUCGAUAG
rnacentral:rRNA from 1 species